UACAGAGGGUGCGAGCGUUAAUCGGAAUUACUGGGCGUAAAGCGCACGUAGGUGGCGACGUAAGUCGGGUGUGAAAGCCCCGGGCUCAACCUGGGAAUUGCAUUCGAGACUGCAUUGCUGGAGUACGGAAGAGGAAGGCGGAAUUCCCGGUGUAGCGGUGAAAUGCGCAGAUAUCGGGAGGAACACCCGUAGCGAAGGCGGCACUCUGGGCCGGAACUGACGCUGAGGAGCGAAAGCGUGGGGAGCAAACAGG
rnacentral:rRNA from 1 species